ensembl:misc_RNA Metazoa_SRP Metazoan signal recognition particle RNA
GCUGGGCACAGUAGUCCCAGCUACUCGGAAGACUGAGGUAGGAGGAUCGCUUGAGCCCAGGAGUUCUGGGCUGUAGUAUGCUAUGUCGAUCAGGUGUCCACACUAAGUUUGGCAUCAAUAUGGUGACAUCCUGGGAGCGGGGAACCACCAGGUUCCCUAAGGAGGGGUGAUCCGGCCCAGGUGCUGAUCAGUAGUGGGAUCAUGCCUGUGAAUAGCCACUGCACUUCAACCUGAGCAACAUGGGGAGACGCCAUCUCUA